UAAGGAAUAUUGGACAAUGGAGGCAACUCUGAUCCAGCCAUGCCGCGUGAAGGAAUAAGGCCCUAUGGGUUGUAAACUUCUUUUAGACGGGACAAAACCCCUUUACGUGUAAAGGGUUGAUGGUACUGUCAGAAUAAGCAUCGGCUAACUUCGUGCCAGCAGCCGCGGUAAUACGAAGGAUGCAAGCGUUAUCCGGAAUUAUUGGGUUUAAAGGGUGCGUAGGCGGACUAAUAAGUCAGUGGUGAAAGCCUGUAGCUUAACUGCAGAAUUGCCAUUGAUACUGUUAGUCUUGAGCACAGUUGAGGUAGGCGGAAUGUGUCAUGUAGCGGUGAAAUGCCUAGAUAUGACACAGAACACCGAUUGCGAAGGCAGCUUGCUAAGCUGUAACUGACGCUGAGGCACGAAAGCGUGGGGAGCAAACA
rnacentral:rRNA from 1 species